rnacentral:rRNA from 1 species
CCUACGGGGUGCAGCAGUGAGGAAUAUUGGUCAAUGGCCGGAAGGCUGAACCAGCCAUGCCGCGUGAAGGUCAGUGCCCUAUGGGCGUUAAACUUCUUUUGUGCGGGAGCAAUAAUGGUCACGUGUGGCCAGACGAGAGUACCGUACGAAUAAGCAUCGGCUAACUCCGUGCCAGCAGCCGCGGUAAUACGGGGGAUGCAAGCGUUAUCCGGAUUUAUUGGGUUUAAAGGGUGCGUAGGCUGUGAGGUAAGUCAGCGGUGAAAUGCCCCCGCUCAACGGGGUGAAGUGCCAUUGAUACUGCCUGGCUGGAAUGCGGAUGCCGUGGGAGGAAUGUGUGGUGUAGCGGUGAAAUGCAUAGAUAUCACACAGAACACCGAUUGCGAAGGCAUCUCACGAAGCCGCGAUUGACGCUGAUGCACGAAAGCGUGGGUAUCAAACAGGAUUAGAUACCCGAGUAGUC